rnacentral:lncRNA from 1 species
CUCACAGUCACCUUUCACUGGACCCUUGUGUACCAUUUCUUACUUCAUUUUACAAGCUCCAGUCAACACCCUGCACAGUCUUCUGCAUCCCAGAUUUGCAAGUAUAUGAUCAGGGAAAGCCUGGUUUGGCUGCCAAGGAGGAUGAGUUAAUCAAUAUCGGAGAUGUGAGAUUGCAUUGCCUACCAUAAAAGAAAAGAGGACAAAGGCUCAAAGAGGAGGAACAUCAGGAGAGAUGAACAAACAGAAAAGAUGUGUGGCUUCCACCAGGAGCCUCUGAGCCCAUUUCAAUUUCUUGCCUGCUCAAGAAAAAGGUAAAGCAAAGGAACUGUUUGUGGGUUAAGGGUAUAAUAAUUACAAAGGAGGAAACAGCAUGUAAAGAGUGUGUCUGAAAAAAUAAGCUUAGGUCACAAAAUGCACAAGUUCAGCCUGGCAAAAAUUGCCAUAAG